UCGAACUCAAGACUACUAGUGAGAAUCCACAAUGAAGCUCCCUAAACUCGGUGAACAAAUUUGCGUAUUUUCGAUGGCAUUCCUGCUAGCGAUCAGUUUGCCAUCUGUCAAAGCUGACGAAAGGAUGCGUGACGUUAACCACUGGGAAGCCUGGGAAGAUCAAAUUCAUGUGACUGCACGGACUACGGAGAGUUAAAGCUCCGGCAAUGUAAUCGAAAGGGCAAAUUGCAUCGAACUAAAAUAAAUAUUGUAACGGCCCUAAUACAAAUAAAAUUCGUGUUUUUUUGUACAUUUGAUAAAAAUAUUUUGCUUAACGAAUACAUUCUUAUCUCCCCUAAA